rnacentral:rRNA from 1 species
AUUGAACGCUGGCGGCAUGCUUUACACAUGCAAGUCGAACGGUUACAGGCCGCAAGGUGCUGACGAGUGGCGAACGGGUGAGUAAUGCAUCGGAACGUGCCCAGUCGUGGGGGAUAACGCAGCGAAAGCUGCGCUAAUACCGCAUACGAUCUAUGGAUGAAAGCGGGGGACCGUAAGGCCUCGCGCGAUUGGAGCGGCCGAUGUCAGAUUAGGUAGUUGGUGGGGUAAAGGCUCACCAAGCCAACGAUCUGUAGCUGGUCUGAGAGGACGACCAGCCACACUGGGACUGAGACACGGCCCAGACUCCUACGGGAGGCAGCAGUGGGGAAUUUUGGACAAUGGGCGCAAGCCUGAUCCAGCAAUGCCGCGUGCAGGAAGAAGGCCUUCGGGUUGUAAACUGCUUUUGUACGGAACGAAACGGUCUGGGUUAAUACCUCGGGCUAAUGACGGUACCGUAAGAAUAAGCACCGGCUAACUACGUGCCAGCAGCCGCCGUAAUAC